rnacentral:misc_RNA from 1 species
AAAAAUUGAAAAAAAAAAAAAACCAUAAUACCAUAUUAUCAAUCUGUGGAAACAAAAGAAAAUGAAAAAGGGGAUAAAUAGUAAAAGAAAAUUACAGCCCUCCAAAAGGACAGCAAACUUCUCAUCAUAUUGGAAACUGCAUAUACGUUAUUGGGUUAAGAAAUCCACAAUAAUAAUAAUAACAGCAACUUAUAAAAUAGUGAACAAAUUAUUAAUAAUAAGAUUAUCUGAUAAGAAAUGAGAUUUUUUUUUUUUUUAAUAAAAAAGUUAAGAUAUCCCAUCUCAGGAUUCGGAAGAGCCGACGGACUACUGGGAUUUACUGUGUGGCUUUAAUCCUGAUCACCUUGUUCUUCCCUUAACGAGGAACAACAAAAGUAUUCGGAUCUUCAUCAUUUAUCCAUCCAUAUUUCUCCAUGAAUGGGUUAGCUAAUGUCUUAGGAGGGUAGUCAUCAAUGCAAUCCCUCCAGACAUUACCAUCUCCCAAGUCUCUCAUCACCUCCCACAAACAGCUAUUGCAUUUAAAGCCAGCACCAAAACUCAACAUCAAAAUUCUAUCUCCUUUAUUUAACCUCUUCUUGGCUUCCAUGUACCCCAGCACAUACCAAAGACUGCUAGCUGAUGUGUUCCCAAACCUAUGUAGAGUCAUUCUUGCUGGUUCCAAAUCAUACUCAGAUAGAUCAAGAUUCACUCCAAUUCCAUCUAUUACAGCUUUCCCACCAGUGUGGAUGCAGAAGUGAUCAACUCCAGUCUUGAAGUUGAUCAAUGCUCUAUUAGUAGUCCCUCCUCCUCCUCCUUUGCUGCCGGAACUCUGACUCCAUUUUUUGAAGAAGGAAACUAUCAUGAAUCUGACUAAUUCUCUUAUGGGCAAGAUCCUAGGGGAUAUUUCCCUAAGGUUGUCCACCAAAGCUCUUGUAGCUGCCAUUGGGAGAGUCUUGUCUAGGUGAAACCCAACGUGACCUCGAUCGUCCUCUUUUUGGACGCAACAAUAAUAAGAUUCAUCUCUAGCCCCGUGGUGCGUCCUCAAUAGACACUUCAGUUUGAACAUGGUUCGGUGCUUUAAUGCCCUUUUGUUGGUCAAAAGAAUUGCACUCCCACCAACACGGAACAAACAAUUUGCAAGAAUCAUCGAUCUUUCAUUCCCAGAGUACCAAUUGGCACUCAAAGACUCUGAGGUGAUGACAAGCGCAUAUAAAUUCUUUUGAGUUUUGAAAAUAUUUUGAACAAUGUCGAUAGAUAUAACGCUGGCACUACAACCCAUUCCAGUGAUGUUAUAUACCUUAAUAUCAUCCCUCAAUUUGUAGUGAUUUAUGAUUCUAGCUGAUACUGACGGCAUCCCAGCAAGCAUCGACACAUUAACCACAAGAACAUCGAUUUCUUGAGGAGAGACGCCAGACCUGGUCAACACCUUUUCAAUGCUAUCUUUAAAGAACUCUUCCAUCUCCAAGAUUCCAUCUUCAUAGGUAGGGUUUUCUUCUCGGCCGUCGAACACCAUCCUCGGACCGUAGGUAUGUUCUCCAAUACCGGAGUUCACAAUGGCUUUCAGGAGAAACUUGUACUCAUGGAGACCAAGAUGCCUGUUCCUCUUAAUCACCUCCCCACAAAACUCAGUGUCAAGUUUUCUAUCAUCGCUUGGUUUGUAGCACUCAUAGUCUAGUAUGUAACAUUCUUGGUCUCUUUUGGCAUCGACCCACCUCCACAGCAAGAAUAGGGGAUACAAGAUCAAGAAUGCAUACACUGGCACGAGCACAUCCAUUAGAAAAAGAAAGAAAGAAAAAAAUAGCUAUAGGAGAAAUAGAAAGGAGAAAGAGAGACAAAGGCGAAAUUGUGUGUUUAUGUUUGUGUAGGAGUACAACUUAGAUC